rnacentral:lncRNA from 1 species
AACUAAGAGAAACUGGACGCUUAACAUCUGCCAUGCAAUAAGCAGGAGCUAUGAGGCAAUAAAAGAUGAAUAAAGUACUGUUUAAUAUAUUUCCUUUCCUCUAUGAGUAUUUUGCUGCUGAGUUCUGUUCCAUGCCAGCUUUCCCUGCAUCCUACUCAUUCAUUAAAUGCCAUGGUAGAAAAACUCAGUAAUAUAACUAGGUCAAAUCCACACAUCUGAGGUUCGACCUAUCAGAGAAUGUGUAAAGGACUGGAAAGGGAAUUUACUCUGGGAUUUUCCAAAAACUGUCCUUGGAAAUCACUAGUGCAACCUGGGGACAAAAAAUAAAUAAAUAAACAAACAAACGAAAAAACGCAGCACACUAACCAUGUUACUCAAACCAAAUCCACCACCCCCACGAAUGCAGUGUCGCAUCAUCAAAAUCAGGGGGUCUGAGCAAAGAGAUAAUCAACAUAAGCCAGUUAAAACCCAAAAGUCAGCAGCGUAUGAAAAAAAACAGAAAAGACUCAAGAGCACUUCAGACCAUCCAGAUAAUCAUCUAACAUCUGCACCUCACUACCCUGCAACUAAAAAAAUAACGUUAAAAACAAUCAGCACUACAAGUUUCACCACAUUGGCUCAAAACCACAGGAAACAAUGACUCGAAGAGGCAUUUCUUUACCAUCAUUUUGUGUGAUCUGUGAGAAGGUGGUUAUAUGUUUUUUUGCUGGUUUGUGUCCCUACAAUGUUCAACUGCACAUUAUUCUGAUGAAAACCCACAAUGUCUUUGAGCUUCUGGUUAUAUAAUGCUGGGGUUUAAAGUCGCCACAUGUAGGUUGGCAUCAGUUAAUUAUUUAGCCAGCUGGCUAAGAUAGGAAAAGGAUAAGAUAUUUCUUUCUUUAUGUAAUAAUGAAAAGCAAUAAUUACAAGUAUGUAAUAAUACACAAAGGCCAUAAUUAGUCUCUUCCAAUGUUUAGGAUGCACUAGAGAAUCGUAUAGUCAUUUGGAGUGUGUUUGGACCCAUUAGUAUGUACUGUAGUACCCUUCCAGCAAGCAAAUACCUGAAUUGCUACUAUUUAACAAUUUUAUGAGCCCAUACUACUGCCGGAGUGACAAAAGUGAUUAAAAAUGCAAGCACUGAUGCUGAAACACUGUACAAGACAUAAUACUGCACAUUUACCUGUUGCAAACAGGCUGGUUUGUAAAAGAUGUAUGUUUUGGUGUUUAAAAUGUUUAUAAAAUUGUAUAUAAAUGGUUUCAAUUUCCCAGGCUUUUGUAGAUACUAUAUUUGAUGCCUAUCAGGAUGCUUUAAUUUGGAGGGUCGAAUAUAAGUCUAAGUCAUUCACGCUGUUGGUCCGCAAACUUUUGAGGUAACUAUACACACACAAAGAGGAUUUUAGAUUUGAAAAAUAAAAGAUCUCCUGUAACAAUUGAGAACAAUACUCCAACACCCCUGCAGUCGUAGCCAUGAAACGAGGUGCUCAAGAAAAGGUUAUCAAUCACCUCUCACAAAAAAUGAAUGAGCUCUCCGCCCAGUUAUCAAGUAGCUGAUUUGUAUGCCAUUUUAGAGUCAGAAUGAGGUGUAUCAUUUCUUCACACACAUGCACACUCACCUAAACUUGCACACACACAUCACACACCAAACUUUAUGCAAAGGGGAAAGCUAACACCUGAACGGAACCAAGCCCGCAUGGAAAAGGACGACUCCUGAACAAAUUACU